rnacentral:rRNA from 1 species
CGCUAACACUCCUACGGGAGGCAGCAGUGGGGAAUAUUGCACAAUGGGGGAAACCCUGAUGCAGCCAUGCCGCGUGUGUGAAGAAGGCCUUCGGGUUGUAAAGCACUUUCAGUAGGGAGGAAGGUAGUGUAGUUAACACCUGCAUUAUUUGACGUUACCUACAGAAGAAGCACCGGCUAACUCCGUGCCAGCAGCCGCGGUAAUACGGAGGGUGCGAGCGUUAAUCGGAAUUACUGGGCGUAAAGCGCAUGCAGGCGGCCUGUUAAGUCAGAUGUGAAAGCCCGGGGCUUAACCUCGGAAUUGCAUUUGAAACUGGCAGGCUAGAGUCUUGUAGAGGGGGUAGAAUUUCAGGUGUAGCGGUGAAAAUGCGUAGAGAUCUGAAGGAAUACCAGUGGCGAAGGCGGCCCCCUGGACAAAGACUGACGCUCAGAUGCGAAAGCGUGGGGAGCAAACAGGAUUAGAUACCCUGGUAG